rnacentral:rRNA from 1 species
UGUUAGGAGAGUCUGAUGGAGCAUGCCGCGUGAGCGAAGAAGGUUUUCGGAUCGUAAAGCUCUGUUGUAAGGGAAGAACACGUACGGGAGUAACUGCCCGUGCCAUGACGGUACCUUAUUAGAAAGCCACGGCUAACUACGUGCCAGCAGCCGCGGUAAU